AGUCGAACGGUGAAAGAGAGCUUGCUCUCUGGAUCAGUGGCGAACGGGUGAGUAACACGUGAGCAACCUGCCCCGGACUCUGGGAUAACAGCUGGAAACAGCUGCUAAUACCGGAUACGAGCUGCGAAGGCAUCUUCAGCAGCUGGAAAGAAUUUCGGUCCGGGAUGGGCUCGCGGCCUAUCAGCUAGUUGGUGAGGUAAUGGCUCACCAAGGCGUCGACGGGUAGCCGGCCUGAGAGGGUGACCGGCCACACUGGGACUGAGACACGGCCCAGACUCCUACGGGAGGCAGCAGUGGGGAAUAUUGCACAAUGGGCGAAAGCCUGAUGCAGCAACGCCGCGUGAGGGAUGACGGCCUUCGGGUUGUAAACCUCUUUUAGCAGGGAAGAAGCGAAAGUGACGGUACCUGCAGAAAAAGCGCCGGCUAACUACGUGCCAGCAGCCGCGGUAAUACGUAGGGCGCAAGCGUUAUCCGGAAUUAUUGGGCGUAAAGAGCUCGUAGGCGGUUUGUCGCGUCUGCUGUGAAAACCCGAGGCUCAACCUCGGGCCUGCAGUGGGUACGGGCAGACUAGAGUGCGGUAGGGGAGAUUGGAAUUCCUGGUGUAGCGGUGGAAUGCGCAGAUAUCAGGAGGAACACCGAUGGCGAAGGCAGAUCUCUGGGCCGUAACUGACGCUGAGGAGCGAAAGGGUGGGGAGCAAACAGGCUUAGAUACCCUGGUAGUCCACCCCGUAAACGUUGGGAACUAGUUGUGGGGUCCAUUCCACGGAUUCCGUGACGCA
rnacentral:rRNA from 1 species